GCUCAUUAUCAUAACUCAAUAAAAUACAAUAGGUUCAAUUUGACAUGGACAGAAGUAACAAAGUAACAAAAUCUCCUCAAGACAUUUGAAUGACAAAUUCAAAGAUGAUGGAUCAACUUGGCGUACUUUAAUCUGCACGAGAUUGGCCUGCCCGAGAUGAAAGAAUGAUACCAACAAUGAGACCGUAGAGGGCAAGAGCCUCAGCAAAGAUGAGGAUGAGA
rnacentral:misc_RNA from 1 species